GGACGGGUAGCUCAGUUGGAUAGAGCGUUGGCCUCCGAAGCCAAAGGUCGCGGGUUCAAAUCCCGCCUCGUUCACCA
rnacentral:tRNA from 1 species